GAUGAACGCUGGCGGCGUGCCUAAUACAUGCCAGUCGAGCGAACGGACGAGAAGCUUGCGUCUCUGAUGUUAGCGGCGGACGGGUGGGUAACACGUGGAUAACCUACCUAUAAGACUGGGAUAACUUCGGGAAACCGGAGCUAAUACCGGAUAAUAUUUUGAACCGCAUGGUUCAAAAGUGAAAGACGGUCUUGCGGUCACUUAUAGAUGGAUCCGCGCUGCAUUAGCUAGUUGGGAAGGUAACGGCUUACCAAGGCAACGAUGCAUAGCCGACCUGAGAGGGUGAUCGGCCACACUGGAGCUGGGACGCGGUCCAUGCUCCUGAGGGAGGCAGCAGUCGGGUACCUUCCGCAGUGGGCGGGAGCCUGACGGAGCAACGGGGCGUGAGUGGUGACGAUCUUCGGAGCGUGAAACUCUGUUACUAGGGGAGAACAUAUUUCUAAGUAACUGUACACAUCUUGACGGUACCUAAUCAGAAAGCCACGGCUAACUACGUG
rnacentral:rRNA from 1 species